rnacentral:lncRNA from 1 species
UUCUUUCAGGUUUUUCAUCAAGUCCUAGUUCUAGAGAUUUGGCAAGAUUAUUUGUUGUACUCAUUAUUGAUAUAGUAAAAGAUUAUUGUUGCUGUCUUGUGGACGUAGGCACAUAUUGCCGAACCACGUAAAUUCUUGGUGUUUUUUAUCUUGGGUAUUUGUUUUUCGAUUUCCGGAGUUUGUUCUUGUUUUUCCUAUUCUUAAACGCGAUAUUCUCAACAAGUGGUAUCAGAGCCUGCUUUGGCUAAUAUCCGUUUAGAAUGGAGGGUGCAACCUGCUUUAAUUGGGUUACGUGGAAAUCAAGAAGAGGACAUGCUUUACUGAAGAUGUUAUGAGCAAGCCAGCAAGUAUGUCUGAUGCUAAUUGGACCAAGAUGAAGAUAAGCGAUGUUUUCUGGCAAAGAAGUCUAUAAUUUCCUUUGCCAAUGAUGAUGGGUAUUGCAAUCACGGGGAGCCUAGUCAAGAGAAGUCUAAUCAAGAGGAUCUUGGUUAAUGAGAAGUUAGAUCAGGGGGAGCUUGGUUAUGGGUAAUUCGAUCAGGGGGAGUCUGGUCAUGAAAAGUUCGAUCAAUGGGAGUUUGGUCAUGAGGAGCAAUCCUAUUUUUGUAUACCUUCCUCAUGGUCUGGAGGGGGAGAUUGUUGGGUUUUUUUCCAGCCCAUGAUAAGUUGUCCUAAAUCUAUUGGGAAUUAAUAGUCUUAGAGGAUUAAAUUGUUUUCCCAAUUGGAGUUGUUUACCCAAUUGGAGUUAGUUUCUCAAUUGGAGUAGGAUUCAUAACUAGAUUCCAAUUAGGAUUAAUAAUCCUUAUUGAAGAAGACCUUUAUUAUGUCUAUAUAAAGGGGCUAUUGUACUAGUUUUGAGAAGGGGAGCAAAACAAUAAAUUGUAUACCACUCAAGGGAUUAGAGUGAGAGAACAUUGUAAAGUAUGUGCGAGAGAAAAGAAAAGAGAUAGUGUAUUUCUUGUUCUUGUUCUUUCAAGUUUUUCGUCAAGUCCUAGUUCUAGAGAUUUAGCAAGAUUAUUGGUUGUGCUCAUUAUUGAUAUAGUGAAAAAUUGUUGUUGCUGUCCCGUGGAUGUAGGCACAUAUUGCCGAACCAAGUAAAUUCUUGGUGUUAUUUAUCUUGGUUAUUUGUUUUUUGAUUUUCGAAAUUUAUUCUUGUUU